rnacentral:rRNA from 1 species
UACGUAGAAGACUAGUGUUAUUUCAUCUUUAAUAGGUUUAAAAGGGUACCUAGACGGUAUAUUUUAGUCUUUAACAGGAUACGAUUAUAACUAGAGUUAUAUAUGAGGAGGUGAGUAUUUAUGGGAGUAGAGUUGAAAUUCUUUGAUACCAUGACGACUGGUAACGGCGAAAGCAACCUUUUAUCUAAUAACUGACGUUGAGGACGAAGGCUCGGGUAACGAACAGG